rnacentral:lncRNA from 1 species
GCAAGCCAGAGUGUGCCAGAGGAGUGCUGGAGCUCCCAGCUUCCCUUUCUAGAUGAAAUUGCUGAUGCUGUAGGGAUCUUUUCAGCAAAGACCUUGGCAAAAUAAAUAGAGGAAAGAUCCAAGGCAAGAUUUGAACUCAAGAUUUUCCUGAUUCCAAGUCCAAUCCUCUGUUUUACCUAGCUGUAGGUAUCCACGGGAGAGGGAUGGCUGCUGUUAGACACAAAUAGGUUUGAAUCCACCAGCAUGGAGCAAAAUGAAGAACACUGAACUAGAGAAUCACCGGAUUUAGCUUCAAAUCUUAACUCUACUAUGACUUUAGAAAAUUCUCUUAAUUUCUCUGGGUUUGUUUCCAUCCUUUGAACUAAGGAGAUUGGCCUAGGUUAUAAGUCUAAUAUCUCUUUGAGUUUUAAAUUUAUUGUUUCACCUGCAUAUGCAGGUAUCCAGUUUGUCUCUCUGUCUCUCCAAAAAAGAUGUUAUACAAAUAUAUAUUUCAUCUGGAUAUCCACUAGCUAUCUCUUAUUCAAUAUAGGUACAGUAAAAAUUUUUUUCUUCCCUCUGUCCCAAAAAUAUACAUCCUACAGCUUCCUGUGACUGUUGAAGAAACUACCAUCUUCCUAGUCGCCCCGCUUCACAAUCUCAACUUGACAUUAAAAGCUCUGUGGAACUGGGCUCCCCCCUUCCUUUGCAGAUUUUUUUUUCUACUCACCUUCACACAUGUUCUGGAC